UGGGGAAUAUUGCACAAUGGGCGCAAGCCUGAUGCAGCCAUGCCACGUGUAUGAAGAAGGCCUUCGGGUUGUAAAGUACUUUCAGCGAGGAGGAAGGCGGUAAGGUUAAUAACCUUAUCGAUUGACGUUACUCGCAGAAGAAGCACCGGCUAACUCCGUGCCAGCAGCCGCGGUAAUACGGAGGGUGCAAGCGUUAAUCGGAAUUACUGGGCGUAAAGCGCACGCAGGCGGUCUGUCAAGUCGGAUGUGAAAUCCCCGGGCUCAACCUGGGAACUGCAUUCGAAACUGGCAGGCUAGAGUCUUGUAGAGGGGGGUAGAAUUCCAGGUGUAGCGGUGAAAUGCGUAGAGAUCUGGAGGAAUACCGGUGGCGAAGGCGGCCCCCUGGACAAAGACUGACGCUCAGGUGCGAAAGCGUGGGGAGCAAACA
rnacentral:rRNA from 1 species